ACAAAUCACCUUAACCCAUCUGAGCC
rnacentral:piRNA from 1 species